ensembl:lncRNA
UUUGAAUGUGGCGGACACUGUAGAACAUAUCCUUUUCUACUGUCCAUUUUACAACCUGCUACGCAAACGCAUGCUGCCCCCCUUUUUGGGGUAGUCUAACAUCACGGCACAAUGAAAAUUUCCGAUUAACCCGGAAUUAACUGCAAGGGGGGCUGAGGUUUUGUUAAUAGUAUCUCUUGGAGUGCUAAAUGGCACUAUUUAGCAGGAAGGAAUCCCAAUGAAAUUCCUCAUCAUUAUAUAUUUUACAUGGCUGUUUAUUUGUAUAUAUGUUAAAUGUUUUAGGAUGUCCUAUAUUUGUAAUGCCUAGAAAAGUUUUGAUGAAGUAAGUAAGUAAGCAUUACAUGGGGCUGGACUAGAUGAGCAUUGGGGUACCUUCCAAUUCUAGAAUUCUACAAUUCCACGAAAAGAGAAUAUGCAUGGGAAAGAGGGUCAGAGAGAAGGAAAAUCACAGGAGUGUAGAGAAGAACAGAUGGCAGACAAAAGCAAGACUGGAAGGACUGAGAUGAAAAGUAGAGGUUUCUAAGCUGCUUAAAUCUUAAAUAGUGCACUAAGCAACAUAAAAACUGUAAAGCAAUAUCAGAAGAACCAUAAAAACAGUAAUAUAAAGUCAUUAAAAAACCAGGAAUUUCAUCUGUCUGUCUGUCUGUCUGUCUAUCUAUUUUGUUCCCUUAGGUGCAAUAUUGGUGUGCACUAUCUCUGGCUUUGUCCCCAUGGACAUGACGAUCACGUGGGAGGAAGGUGGCCAAUCAGAUAACACCUCCGGCAUCAUAAGUGCAAGCACUGGUAACACAGCACACUUCAGCCUUAAACCACUAGGCGAUUCGGAGGGUGACCUCUUCGUCUGUCGAGUAUCCCACCCUGAGUCCCAAACAAAAGUCAAUGAACCUGAAGACAAAGGGAACGGUCUCCAUGAGAACCUCUAUCGCGCCAACCAUAAAGAAAGCAGCCUUCAGCAAGCACAGACAAUCCUCACCGGCAUGGUCAUUGGGCUCAAUGCAAGUGAAAUUUCUGUCCAGUGGGUGAAGAAUGCCCUCCUUGAAGGUCACCAUGUGAAUCCCCGAGUCUUGAAGGGCAGCAUCAAGGAUUCCCUCUUGGCCCUCAGCCAGGUGGUAAUCCCCUACUCUGACUGGCACAACGGUACUUCAUACUCCUGUACGUUUACCCGCACAGCAGGCACCGUGGAGCCCACCCAGAGGCCUGAGGAGAAAUCCCAGGGUGAAAAGUGAUGCAAACCCCAUCCUCAGCAUCACAACCUCUUCAGCCUAUCCCAGAUUCAAUAAUUUCCAUGUAUCCAUGUUUGGCCUAAGGCUAAAUAAAAAUGAGCAUACUCACAGAUAUUUCAUGAUUUGAUCACUUGAUUGAGGUGGUGGGUGGGUUCUGGAAAGAAGUGGGGAAUGGAUUAAUCUCCCUGCAAAAUCGUGUUGAAGUUUGAUUAUUGUAGAAGCAAAGUGUGUUUAGCACAUAACCAUGAAGUUCACUGGGGGGGCUUUUGGCUAGUCACUCUCUCUUAGCCUAUCCUUCCUCACCAGGGUUUAGACUCUAACCGAGCACAGAUUUUUGUGUCUCCCCCCCCCCCAGCAAAGCAUGUCCUAUAAAAGGAAAGGUGAGUGGAGUGACAACAAUUCAUUUUGCUGACCAGUGUCUUCUGCCUGUUGAUCAUGUCUACCCAGCAUCAGUUGACCUAGAUGAACAGGUGGUGCAGUUGGUGGCAGAUUUUCAUA